rnacentral:rRNA from 1 species
UUUCCGUAGGUGAACCUGCGGAAGGAUCAUUAUUGAAAUAAACCUGAUGGGUUGUUGCUGGCUCUCUAGGGAGCAUGUGCACACUUGUCAUCUUUAUAUCUCCACCUGUGCACCUUUUGUAGAUCUGGAUAAUUUUCUGAAUGCCCUGGCAUUCAGGUUUGGGGAUUGACUUUGUCUUUCCUUACAUUUCCAGACCUAUGUUUUCUUCAUAUACACCAUGUAUGUUAUAGAAUGUAAUGAAAAGGCCUUUGUGCCUACAAACCUAUACAACUUUCAGCAACGGAUCUCUUGGCUCUCGCAUCGAUGAAGAACGCAGCGAAAUGCGAUAAGGUAAUGUGAAUUGCAGAAUUCAGUGAAUCAUCGAAUCUUUGAACGCACCUUGCCUCCUUGGUAUUCCGAGGAGCAUGCCUGUUUGAGUGUCAUUAAUAUAUCAACCUCCUCAAGUUUUUACUUGUUGAGUGUUUGGAUGUGGGGGGGUCUCUUUUUGCUGGUCUCUUUUGAGUUCAGCUCCCCUGAAAUGCAUUAGCGGAACAAUUUGUUGACUCGUUCAUUGGUGUGAUAACUAUCUACGCUAUUGACGUGAAGCAGGUUUCUGCUUCUAACAGUCCAUUGACUUGGACAAAUUUUCAUUAAUGUGACCUCAAAUCAGGUAGGACUACCCGCUGAACUUAA